UACGUAGGGUGCGAGCGUUAAUCGGAACUACUGGGCGUAAAGUGUGCGCAGGUGGCCGCGCAAGUCGAGUGUGAAAUCCCCGGGCUUAACUUGGGAAUUGCGCUCGAAACUACGUGGCUCGAGUGUGGCAGAGGGAGGUGGAAUUCCACGUGUAGCGGUGAAAUGCGUAGAUAUCUGGAGGAACACCGGUGGCGAAGGCGGCAUCCUGGACCGACACUGACGCUGAGGAGCGAAAGCCAGGGGAGCAAACGGG
rnacentral:rRNA from 1 species